rnacentral:rRNA from 1 species
GACGAACGCUGGCGGCGUGCCUAAUACAUGCAAGUCGAGCGAAGUUUUUCUGGUGCUUGCACUAGAAAAACUUAGCGGCGCACGGGUGAGUAACACGUAAAGAACCUGCCUCAUAGACUGGGACAACUAUUGGAAACGAUAGCUAAUACCGGAUAACAGCAUUAACUGCAUGGUUGAUGUUUAAAAGUUGGUUUUGCUAACACUAUGAGAUGGCUUUGCGGUGCAUUAGCUAGUUGGUGGGGUAAAGGCCUACCAAGGCGACGAUGCAUAGCCGACCUGAGAGGGUGAUCGGCCACACUGGGACUGAGACACGGCCCAGACUCCUACGGGAGGCAGCAGUAGGGAAUCUUCCGCAAUGGGCGAAAGCCUGACGGAGCAACGCCGCGUGAGUGAAGAAGGAUUUCGGUUCGUAAAGCUCUGUUGUUAGGGAAGAAUGAUUGUGUAGUAACUAUACACAGUAGAGACGGUACCUAACCAGAAAGCCACGGCUAACUACGUG